rnacentral:rRNA from 1 species
UGCGCAGGCGGAAUGGUAAGUCAGUGGUGAAAUCCUACAGCUUAACUGUAGAACUGCCAUUGAUGCUGUCAUUCUUGAGUACAUAUGAAGUGGGCGGAAUGUGUCAUGUAGCGGUGAAAUGCAUAGAUAUGACACAGAACACCGAUAGCGAAGGCAGCUCACUAAAUUGUAACUGACGCUCAUGCACGAAAGCGUGGGGAGCAAACAGGAUUAGAUACCCUGGUAGUCC